rnacentral:rRNA from 1 species
AACGAACGCUGGCGGCAUGCCUAACACAUGCAAGUCGAACGAGACCUUCGGGUCUAGUUGCGCACGGGUGCGUAACGCGUGGGAACCUGCCCUUAGGUUCGGAAUACCUCCCCGAAAGGGGUGCUAAUACCGGAUAAUGUCUUCGGACCAAAGAUUUAUCGCCUUUGGAUGGGCCCGCGUUGGAUUAGCUUGUUGGUAGGGUAAAAGCCUACCAAGGCGACGAUCCAUAGCUGGUCUGAGAGGAUGAUCAGCCACACUGGGACUGGGACACGGCCCAGACUCCUGCGGGAGGCAGCAGUGGGGAAUAAUGGACAAUGGGCGAAAGCCUGAUCCAGCAAUGCCGCGUGAGUGAUGAAGGGCUUAGGGUUGUAAAGCUCUUUUACCCGGGAUGAUAAUGACAGUACCGGGAGAAUAAGCUCCGGCUAACUCCGU